GUAGAGUCUCUUGUGCCCAGGGGCUCCCAUUCAAUGUGAAUUGUAUUUUAUAAUAUACCAAGAGCCCCCAAACACAGAAGUGACCUGGACCUCUCUCAGCAUCUGUAGAGGAAGCAUUUUAGAAAAGCGGAAAAUAAAAGUGAUAGGACAGAAAUACAAUGGCUGUCAAAGAAGAAAACUCUACAUUACUGUCACCUAGAAAGACAGUGGGAUAAAUGAUGUAUAUAUUCUGUGGAAUUGUUUCCCUGAAUCCUCAGAACAGACUUAUGAGGGCCUAUGAAGAUAAGCAGGGCCUAAGAUGAUGAAGAUCUAAUCUUUCAUUGGAAGACACUUGGGUGAUGCUAUAGGAUAAUGAAGAUUUCAUCUUCCGUUGGAGGAUACCUCAGAUGUCCAGAUCUUUAGGUCUUUUCUUUUAGGCUUUGGCUGUAUCUAGCAUAUCUCAAUCCAGAAACUUUCUGGUCCACAUUCUGCACAGUACACUUAACUCAGGUGGCCUGCUGAGGUCCUCAAAGGGGUCCUGUAGCUGAACUGGAAAAUGGAAAAGGCCGAAGCCAUUCUUCUUUCUGAGGUUUUGCAAUGAAAACUGUCCUGUAUUUUGUUGACCUCCCACUGCCAUUGCUUCACCACCAUCUACACCCACACCUCCCCACCCCCAGACACUGGGCUUCAUGUUUCUCUGAGAACAUGGACUUCAAUUCACCAUCUUAAUUCAGAAGUAUAAUGAUUUAAGAAGGCUCAGCUGCAGAUAUGUAAAGAGAGAUUUGCAAAAGCAUAAUCAAGUCAAGUCAUGGCAAGGUCAUAAGAAGCAGUCACAAAAGCAGCAGUAAUUUGAGUGCGAAUGGCAGUUUUCAUCAUGACUAUGCCCGUUCACAGGGACUCUUUGAAACAGAAGUUUGGUUGGAAGCAUUUCCCAUUCUGCUUGUGGCAGGGCAUGAAAGGGGCACAGAGGCUAUGGAUGCAUUGUUCCCCAGGCCCAGGCUCCUUCCUGGCUGUGUGAUGAUGGGCAAGUUGCUGGCCUCUCCAGUUGUGUCUUUGGAAAAUAGAUGUAAUUGCACCUACCU
rnacentral:lncRNA from 1 species